rnacentral:lncRNA from 1 species
ACGUCACCACCUUCGCGUCUUUUCUGGAGAGCGCGGGAAGACACCGAGAUGAACCCAGCAGGCAAGCUGGCAGGAAGUCAGACUGCGGCCCUUGCCUGAGAGGAUGACACAGGCCAAAGGAGAGAAGGAAAACAACAAGGCAGCCAGAGCUAGGGUCUGUGCUCAGCUCUGGAAGAUGCAGCCAUGGGUGAAUCAACUCUCCUUGCUUCAAGUUUAUGCUUCAUUAGGAGAGAUAAGAAAGCCAAGGCCUGCAGCGUGUGUUAGUUCCAGGUCAGAGAUCAAACCCAAGCCAUAGUAGUGACCUGAGACACUGCCGUGACAAUGCUGGAUCCUUAACCAACUGUGCUUGGCCCAGGAUCGAACCUGCAUCCCAGCGCUCCAGAGACACCACCAAUUCUGUUGUGCCACAGUGGGAACGCUCUCUCUCUCUCUCUCUCUUUUUUUAAUUGGUGGGGGAAGAAAAGGAUACAGUGAGACAGCUCAGUCCAUAGCCCACUUCUGGUUCUUUCUGACUAUGACAUGAAGGAUUUUUCAAAUCUUUGCAUACCAGAAAUCGCUGAUUUUUCCUUUCAAAGAGGAUUGCCUCCCACCCUGUCCUUUUUCUUCCCUAAGUUCCAUCAUUAGUUUCCCAGGGCCUUGCUGGGGGAAGGUUCCCCCCUCUGAGAAUAUGGUAGGAAUGAAACUUGCUAGAAAAAUGCGAAGCAUUCCCAGCUUUGCCACCUCCACAUGGCAGCAGGCUGCAAUGCUAUCUUUGUGCCUUCAGAUAAAGAGAUCAAAGUUUCUUCAAGAGCUGAUUCCCCAGGCUGAUUUGCAUGGGGGUGGGGUGGGGUAGGGAGUGUGAGGAUAAGCAAGAUAGGAUGCAAGUGGAAAUUUCUAUUUCAAAGGUGAAGUCUCCAGCAUGGCCAGCAGGACUGGAUCUGCACUAGCAAGGAACCAGCCCUGUUCUCUGGCUGGGGGAUCAGACAUAAGGUUUAAGGCAGAGUCUGACCUCAGUCUAGAAUUCUGGGAUGUCUACACUGGAAGGUGCCUUAGGCCUAGCUAAGCCAACCCACUCAUUUUACAGAUGGGGAUAUUGAGGUCUCAGAAGUGGCAGACUAGACCUGGAGACGAGUGCUCUUGACUUUUUUCCUGAAAUAUAUUUGAUAUAUAAUAUUGUGUAAUUGUGUAAAUUUAGGGGAUAUAACAUGUUAAUUUGAUGCAUUUUUAUAUUGUAAUAUGAUUGCCAUUGUAGCAAUAAUUAGCACCUCUGUCAUGAUAACUAUCCUUUAUUUUUAGUGGUUGGACCAUUAAGUUCUAGUCUCUCAGUAAAAUUUUUUAAUUUUGUCUUUUUAGGGCCACACCCGUGGCAUAGGGAGGUUCCCAGGCUAGGGGUCCAAUCGGAGCUGUAGCUGCCGGUCAACACCACAGCCACAGCAAUGCCGGAUCCGAGCUGCAUCUGUGACCUGCACCACAGUUCACUGCAAUGCUGGCUCCUUAACCUAAUAAGCAAGGCCAGGGAUCGAACCUGUGUCCUCAUGGAUACUAGUCAGAUUCGUUACCACUGAGCCACGAAGGGAACUCCAUCUCAGUAAAUUUGAUGAUUAUUAUAUUGCUGUCUAUAUUCACUAUACUGUGCAUUAAAUCUCUAGGGCUUAUUUACUACUCGUUGCAACUUCUCUUGGCUUUAUGUCCAGUGUACUUUCCAUGACCUCUUGCUGUUUUCAUCCACUAGUGUGUGAGUAUAUGGGUAUAGAUUCAUCAAUAAAUAAAACUUGAGAGAUUAAUAAAAC